rnacentral:rRNA from 1 species
GACAGAGGGGGCAAGCGUUGCUCGGAAUUACUGGGCGUAAAGCGUGCGCAGGCGGUUUUGUAAGUCUGACGUGAAAUCCCCGGGCUCAACCUGGGAAUUGCGUUGGAGACUGCAAGGCUGGAGUCUGGCAGAGGGGGGUAGAAUUCCACGUGUAGCAGUGAAAUGCGUAGAGAUGUGGAGGAACACCGAUGGCGAAGGCAGCCCCCUGGGUCAAGACUGACGCUCAUGCACGAAAGCGUGGGGAGCAAACAGG